CUGCGGAGGAUCAUUACUGAACUAGUAAUUCUCUGAAAGGUCGCCGGUACCCGGUCCCCCCUAAACAAGGGGGCCGGGGAAGGUCCUCUCACACCCUUGUGUACCUUACCAUGUUGCUUUGGCGGGCCGACCCGGUUUCGACCCGGGCGGCCGGCGCCCCCAGCCCUCACCGGCCAGGACGUCAGGCUAAGCGCCCGCCAGUAUACAAAACUCCAGCGAUUAUUUCGUGCAGUUCUGAUAAAUUAUUCAAUUAAUUAAAACUUUCAACAACGGAUCUCUUGGUUCUGGCAUCGAUGAAGAACGCAGCGAAAUGCGAUAAGUAAUGUGAAUUGCAGAAUUCAGUGAAUCAUCGAAUCUUUGAACGCACAUUGCGCCCUCUGGUAUUCCGGAGGGCAUGCCUGUUCGAGCGUCAUUUCAACCCUCAAGCUCUGCUUGGUAUUGGGCGACGUCCGCUGCCGGACGCGCCUCGAAGACCUCGGCGACGGCGUCUUAGCCUCGAGCGUAGUAGUAACAUCUCGCUUUGGAGUGCUAGGCGUUGGCCGCCGGACAAUCGACCUUUGGUCUAUUACUUCCAAGGUUGACCUCGGAUCAGGUAGGGAUACCCGCUGAACUUAAGCAUAUCAAUAAGCGGGAGGAA
rnacentral:rRNA from 1 species